rnacentral:rRNA from 1 species
GCUGGCAGCUAGCUCUCUGCAACAUUGAAGCUAAGCAGGGCUGCGCCCGGUCAGUACCUGGACGGGAGACCAGAUGGGAAAGCUAGAUUGCUGCAGGAA